rnacentral:tRNA from 1 species
AUCUGGCUGGCUCAGUGGGUAGAGCAUGUGACUUUUGACCAUGAGGCUGUGGGUUCAAGCCCUGUGUUGAGUU